rnacentral:rRNA from 1 species
UGCAAGUCGACGCGUUCCGGGGGGCAACUCCCGGGAUGAGUGGCGAACGGGUGAGUAACACGUGGGUCAUCUCCCCUCGAGUGAGGAAUAAGCCCCCGAAAGGGGGUCUAAUACUGCAUAACGCCCGGGAACAUAAGUCCCCGUGCCAAAGCCGUAAGGCGCUUGAGGAUGAGCCUGCGUCCUAUUAGCUAGUUGGUAGGGUAAUGGCCUACCAAGGCGAAGAUGGGUAGCCGGCCUGAGAGGGUGAACGGCCACACUGGGACUGAGACACGGCCCAGACUCCUACGGGAGGCAGCAGUGAGGAAUUUUGCGCAAUGGGGGAAACCCUGACGCAGCGACGCCGCGUGGAGGAUGAAGGCCUUCGGGUCGUAAACUCCUGUCAGAGGUGAAGAAUACCCGCAAGGGUUUGACGGUAACCUCAAAGGAAGCCCCGGCUAACUACGUGCCAGCAGCCGCGGUAAUACGUAGGGGGCAAACGUUGCUCGGAAUUACUGGGCGUAAAGGGUGAGUAGGCGGCUGGGCAAGUCAAGGAUGAAAUCCCGUGGCUUAACUGCGGAACUGUCCUUGAAACUGCCUAGCUUGAGGAUAGUUGAAGAGAAGGGAAUUCUCGGUGGAGCGGUGAAAUGCGUAGAUAUCGGGAGGAACACCUGAGGCGAAAGCGCUUCUCUAAGCUACUCCUGACGCUGAAUCACGAAAGCUAGGGGAGCAAACGGGAUUAGAUACCCCGGUAGUCCUAGCCUUAAACGAUGGACGCUAGAUAUUCCUGCAUUCAUGUGGGAGUGUCGAAGCUAACGCGUUUAAGCGUCCCGCCCUGGGGAGUA